GAUUUGGGGGAAGUGAGGGAGACAGGUGAGGUGAGUAACUUGGGGGAAGUGAGGGAGACAGGUGAGGUGAGUAACUUGGGGGAAGUGAGGGAGACAGGUGAGGUAAGUGGUCUGAGGGAAGUGGGGGAGACAGGUGAGGAGAGUAAUUCGAGGGAAUUGAAGGAGAUACAGGAAGUGAGUUGGGAUUCAGCGGAGGGAUCAGCAGGAGUGUCAGGUGGUGGAGGUGUAGCACUAGGUGGAGUGACUGAAAAAACUAUUAGUGAGAGUGAGCUGUUUUCUGGUGUGAGUGUGGCAUUGGGGUGGACGGCAAUGAACACUCGUAGCAAGAGAAAGCAUUUAAUGUCUGUUGAGGGGGCGAGGAAGGCUGGACGACUGGAGGCCUCAGCGGCUGCUGAAGACAGCAGUGACAGCGAGACCUCCAUGUCAGACUGCAGUGACCUCUCCCUUUCACAGGCCUCAUCACAUUUGGACUCUGAUAAUCAAGAAAAAGAGCUCUACAGCGCAAAAAUGAUAAAAAGUUUCCUGCAAAGUACAAAAGGAGUCAAAAAACUUAACAUAGACCUGCAUUUCGCAGAUAAAUCUUUGUUUUUAUUGUCAGCGAAACACAUAAUAAAACACAAAGCUGCAACCGACCUGACUGAACAGGAGAUAUUUAGAUUACAGAAACACAUGAUUAAAGUCAGGAAACAAAUUAAUAUCUGAAGUUAUGAUGUGGUCUGGUUUUAUGUUCAUUGUCUGUGUUUCUUACUCUACUAUUUUAAACUUGGGUGUUUUUAGAGUUGGGACACUUAACGCUAAUGGAGCAAGAGAGCUGAAAAAAAGGGCACUUGUGUUGGACACAGCAAAAACCAAACGGGUUGAUGUUUUAUUUCUUCAAGAGAUCCACAGUGAUCAGAGUGUGGAGGUUUUCUGGGAGAAGGAAUGGGAGGGGCGGGUGGUUUUAAGCCACAACACCACAGCGAGUGGCGGAGUGGGCAUCCUCCUCUCAAGGAGUUUCACCCCAUCCUCUGUGGAGGUAGAGCAGGUGGUGAAGGGGAGGUGCCUGCUGGUCAGAGCCAAGCUCGAAAGUUUUAGUCUGGUUUUUAUGAAUAUUUAUGCACCUAACAAUGGGGCAGAGAGGAAGAGGUUUUUAGAAAUUGUAAAUGCUAAAUUAAAUAGCUGCGGCUCGGAGGAUUACCUAUUUUUAGGGGGGAUUUUAAUUGUACUGAGAACGAGUUUUUAGAUCGCAACCAUGCAGAGCCACAUCCAGCUUCUCAGCAUACUCUGAAGCAGCUGGUCCAUUCUCAUGACCUGGUGGAUGUGUGGAGGAGGAUGCAUGCAGACUGUCGUCAGUACACCUGGUCCCACCUGAGGGAGCGCGGGGUCUCUCUAGCAAGGUUGGACAGAUUUUAUUGUUUUAAGCACCAUUUUAAUGUUUUUAAAGACUGUAGGAUUGUACCAUCUGGCUUCUCAGAUCACUCUCUGGUUUUAUGUGACACAGUACUAAGAAAUGUUAUACCCAAGAGUGCAUAUUGGCAUUUUAAUUCUGCUUUGAUUUUAGAUAAAGGUUUUAAGGAUGUUUUAAAAUUUUUCUGGUGUAGGUUUAGGAGGCAGGUAACUGAUUUUAGUAGUCUUAGUCAGUGGUGGGACCAUGGUAAAGUACAAAUCAAAUUAUUAUGUCAACGGUACACUCUCAAUGUCACCCACUAUACACACAGAUACAGGACUUGGAGAAUGAAAUAGUGGAAUUAGAGGCACUUGGCUGUUCCACAGGAAAUCGAGGACACAUUGAAGUCCUCAACUCCAAAAAGAUGGCAUUAGCCAAUCUGCUGGACUCAAGGGUACAGGGGGCACUGGUCCGGGCCCGGGUCCAGAACAUCACAGAGAUGGAUGCUCCCUCUGGCUUCUUCUUUGGCCUGGAGAAGAAGCAAGGUCAGUGGAAACAGAUUCACUGCCUGCUGUAGGACACUGGGUAGGAACUGACGGAGCCCCGGGACAUCAGGGGCAGAGCUACAAAAUUCUUUUCCGACCUCUACAUGUCGGAAUAUGAAGAAAACGUUGAGCUGGAGGUGGACUUCUGUGGAUCACUGCCCAAGGUGUCGGCCGACAUCACUGCCCAGCUAAGUCGCCCUCUCCAGCUUGAAGAACUCAAAGCUGCCCUGCAAAGCAUGCAGGGGCGAAGAUCACCUGGUAUUGAUGGACUCACAGUUGAAUUUUACAAGGAAUACUGGGACAUUUUGGGCACUGACCUGCUCCAGGUGCUGAGGGAGAGUCUAGCCAGCGGUUCCCUCCCCCUCUCCUGUCAGAGAGCUGUUGUGACUCUGCUUCCGAAAAAAGGCAACCUUCUGGAAAUCAGGAACUGGCGCCCAGUGUCCCUUCUGUGUGUGGAUUACAAAAUCCUCUCAAAGACGAGAAAAAAAAAGAAGAGCCAUGGAGCAUGUCAUCCACCAGGACCAGACCUACUCUGUACCCGGCAAGUCUAUACAAUGUCUACCUAAUUCGGGACGUUUUGGAGGUCUCCAGCUCAUUGGGUCUAGACACUGGAAUCAUUUCGCUAGAUCAGGAGAAGGCUUUUGACCGGGUUGAACACAACUUCCUCUGGAAUGUCAUGAGGAGGUUUGGGUUCAGCCCAGGUUUCAUCGCCAUGAUCCGUGUGUUUAACAGACAUCGAGAGCCUACUGAAAUUAAACGGCAGUCUGUGUGCUCCCUUCAGGGUGCAGAGGGGUGUCCGGCAGGGCUGUGCCCUGUCGGGGAUGCUCUAUGCACUCUCCCUUGAACCUCUCCUCUCUCAAAUACGCGCUAAUAUAAAUGGCUUGAUUUUACCUGGUUUUAAUAGCAACACUGUUUUAUCUGCUUAUGCAGACGAUGUUAUUGUUUUAGUAAAAACUCAAAACGAUGUUGAUAUUUUAACCGCUUUAACAGACAAAUAUAAAACCCUGUCUGCCGCAAAAAUGAAUUGGAAAAUUUCUGUUGGGAAGUGGGCAAGUGGCCUCCCAACUCUUCCCCAGAACCUGGCCUGGAAGACUGGGGGGUUAAAAUACCUCGGGGUCUUUCUUGGAGACAAGGCAAUGGUAGAUAAAAAUUGGGAGGGAAUAGAAGAAAAAAUUGAACAAAGAAUUAAAAAGUGGAAGGGGCAACUACCACACAUGUCCUACAGAGGCAGAGUGUUGAUUUUAAACAACCUGGUUGCGUCCCUCCUGUGGCACCGACUGUCCUGCCUGGAUCCUCCAGCUGGACUUCUUACAAAAAUUCAGGAAAAAGUAAUCCAGUUUUUUUGGGAUGAAAUGCACUGGGUGCCACUGGGGGUGCUGUUUUUACAGAGAGAGGAGGGGGGGCAGGGUCUCAUCCACCUGGCCAGCAGGACUGCAGCGUUUAGGCUGCAGUUUCUCCAGCGGUUCCUGACUGGUCCGGCAGACCUGGGGCCUCAUGUAUCAACGCUGGCGGCGCCAGAAAACCUUGCGUUCGCCAAGAUCGGCGCAAACGUCCAGAUUUAUCAUCGCGACACGAGCGUCGGUUCCAGCGCAAAUCCACGCAAAGUGAGGAGGUGGUGUAGAAGUUGGCGUUGAGCCGAUACUUGCGUUGACGGCACUUUGGCGACGCUGUGUGGCGGUGUUUGGUGACUCACUAUGUGACAAGCGUUCACACAUCGCAGUGGACCUGCACCACAUCCCCGUGGCUGAACAGCACGUCUCCCCACAUGACGAACCAGCAGCAGACAGAGGGAUGCGAGCUGAUCCCUGCCGGGCCGCCGUCCUCGCGCGGGAGAAUCUCAUCGCCACAAUGUGAAUGGGUAAGAAGUGAAUACACAGUUCAAUGAGCCAAAUUAAUUUAUUUUCUCCACCAGAUGCUCGAGGACAUUUACGAGCCGGUCCAGCCGCUUGUUGAUUCCCGCGAUCCCCCUGAUGAUUUCUUCCUGCGAUUGCAGGACCGCCUCCGUGAGGACCCUUCCACUGCGUCCGGGUGGUCCAGCGGAAGCGCCGUGGCUGGUGGACGCUCCACCGCUUGUCGGCACACUGGUGCUGAUGCUGGUGCUGGUGCUGGUGCUGGGGCCGGGGUGGCCCGAAUGCCACUGGUCCUGGCCGACGACUCCGAGCCGGCGGACGGGCUGCCGCAAGCCGGGGAUCCGCAAGCCGGCGACACGGCGGACACAUUGAUUUCUGUGACACAAUAAAAAUAUUGGUUCAUUUUAAUUCCUGCUUCUGUGUAUCUGUUGCGUUUACAUCUCUCUCCACAGUAUCACAGGUAAUGUAAUCCAGUAUUUAGAGGUCAGUUAUGCACAUUAUAGUUGUUUAUUGCAUAAAAACUUAUCGAAAAAUGAAGUUAAGGGCGAAGUAUAAAUCACGUCUAAAAAUAGACUGAAUCCCGAUGUUGAAAUGAAGUAUAAACUUAGACUAGACGUCUAAUAUACAUCUUUUGCUCAGUGGGAUGGCAAAGCAUGUGGACAUUUGUGUGACACGCCACUUACCCUAUAAUAAUAAUCGCCACCACCCGCUGCUCAAACGGCGUGAGGGUCUCCUCCCCCGGAACCCCACCUGUCUGGCCGGUACUCCUCCGUAGGGCAGCUGUAUGCCGCUUGACCUCCACCUUGAGGUCCGACCAUUUUUUUUUAAAUCUCCGCGGGGGUGCGUGUCUCGGAACCCACCGCGUUCACCCUCUCGCAAACUUUCUCCCACUCCAAGCGUUUUCGUUUAGCACUGACGCCACUGGACAGGCUGCCAAACAUUUUGUCUGCGUGCGAGGACAGGGAGACCCUAUUUAAAUAUAUCUGCAUAUUUAUAGGAGGGCGUAACGGGGGCGGGCCUGGUCACUCCGACAUCUGCGCUCAAUUCCAAGCUGAUUGGGAUUUAUCAAGGAAACACACGUGGCUUUCGGCGCCCGCACACCUUGAUACAUACAGAUUUUUUUCAGCGUGACGGACCUUGCGUGCGCUCGUUUCUGGUAUGAGUCCCACGCAAGUGUUGAUACAUGAGGCCCCCGGUCUUCCUGCCAAAUUUCAUGAGUUUUUCGCCAGUGGGAAGUGGGCCAUUUUCCCCUUUAAAGGGGAGGAAAAAUAAGAAGAAAGAAAAACCCAUCGAAAAACAAUAGGGCCUACGCCUGGCUGCUUUGCAGCUGGCUCGGGCCCUAAUAACUCAAUCUCUCACCACCUCUGAAAAGAAUAAUUCAUUGGUUGCGAUUGUGCACAGGAUGUUCUCGUGGCACCAUGUUUCCGAGAAGCUCCUGAGGUCUUUUACCAUUUAAAAAAAACUAAAAUCUAAUUGGAUUCUAUGACGAACAUUAGAACGCCACACAUCCACUGCAUCUGUAUGAGAGGAACCUGUAAUUUUAUUUCUCCUUGAAAUGUAAAUUGCCAUCUUUGCUUCUCCAACAAUAAAAUUUAAGAGUUGCCACAUUUUUCUGUUUUUUUUGUUGUAGCCUGUGUCGUAAAUAAAAUUAGUAAGUGUAAAAACCUGACCAAAAUAGCUAAAAACCUUGGUUAAAAGAGUAAAAAAUGCAGAAAGUCUGUUACAGUCAUUAAAAAUGUGAAAUAGCCUUUCUCUGGAGCUACAGAAGGGGCACUGGUUGGACACAGCAGGGUUGAUGAUCGACACCAAGGCAUUCGACGCAAUUGCACCGUGGAGGAUCCGCUACUGGAGGUCUCCAGUUCUUUUUUUCAGUGGCGCCUUGUACAGAAUCCUCCAGUGAGGUGCAUCAUCUCCAAGUAUUUCAGUCCAUGCACAUGUUGCUCUCUUUUCUAGAGUCUUUUUAUUUAAAACUUGUAUGCAGGCCUUGUAGAGGCUCUUCCCGUUGGUGCUGCUGAGGCGAAGAGCUAUUGACCUCAGCAGCGGGCCUUCCAUCUCCCCUGCCGGGCUGAUGUGUAUGCCGGGAAACGGGUCUGUGUCGUCUGGUUCUGUUCCAGACUCCAUCUGUAGGAGGAGGCGUUUUUCUUCAGGAGACAGUCUGCCCCUCCACAGCUGGAGCAGCCUCUCUGCCAUCCUGCUGGACCAGAGGCCCAGCGCACGCCUCACAGCUUGGUGGUCGCUGAGGGCUGGUCCUGCAGCUUGGACCAGUUGCUGAAGGUCCACAGUUUUUGCUCUCAGCAGAGCCGCCGUCAGCCCGGGCGUGGCUCCACUGGAGAUGUCCGGUCUGGCUCCAUGAAUCAGGGGUUCCUUCAGAAGCCAGAACAGAGCCAGAGGUGUUUUUUUCCUUCGGGCUUCUAAAAAGAGCCCACACUUUAAAAACACUUUGAUAAAAAGGAGGAAUCCCGCUUAAUUUAAAAAAUUAAGGAUCCAGUAAAAACAGAGCAGUAUCCAGUCCCACUUGACCCACCUCUCUGAAGAUACAGCUGGCCACACCUCUCCACACCAGGGGCCUCAUGUAUCAACACUUGCGUGGGACUCAUACCAGAAACGAGCGCACGCAAGGUCCGUCACGCUGAAAAAAAUCUGUAUGUAUCAAGGUGUGCGGGCGCCGAAAGCCACGUGUGUUUCCUUGAUAAAUCCCAAUCAGCUUGGAAUUGAGCGCAGAUGUCGGAGUGACCAGGCCCGCCCCCGUUACGCCCUCCUAUAAAUAUGCAGAUUUAUUUAAAUAGGGUCUCCCUGUCCUCGCACGCAGACAAAUGACAAAAAAAACUAAAUUUACGGCGUGCGAGAUCUCGUGUGUGUCCCCGUAAGACAUUGAAUGAGAAUGGCGGGGUUUAUAAACACCCACAUCCCACAACCCUGGCCUCUUCUAUUAUCAAGUGAAGAACAGUUUGAUGUAUUGACUUUAUUUUAUUUUGAAAUUUGACCGGCCAUUUUACUCUGUAGCCACCUACAACUUCCAUUGCUGCUUGUGCUGUGCUGCACUGAAUUGAUGCGCUGUGCUGUGGCGUCCAGCAAAAUAGAAGCCUUGCGUUUCUGAUCCGACCCCCGGAGCUGUUCCGCAAUGGAGCCGGACGGCAGACAGAUUGUGUGGAAGAACACACAUUGAUUAUAAUGCUUGCGUAAUUGAGCUGCAUGACUUUCUGGAUCAGAUCGCAGCCGUUACGGAUCCUGUGGGUUUUAGCAGUCAUACUGCCAUCUCAAGAAUGCCACAAUGCAGCCACAAUCCACCGACCCCAGAUUAGCAAGGAAUAUGUCCAUCGGAGAAUUUGUAGUGGCUUUUGGCGUUUACAAAGAUGUAAUCUGCUCUGUCUACCCUGAACGCAGACAAGAGUUAGACACUUAUCUGUCACUGAUUGGCGAUCUUACAGUUUUUCUCAGUUGCUUUGGUACAUUUCUCAGAUCAGAAUUGAAAUUCUCAAAACUAUGUGUUCAGUCUUCACAUCAUUGUGCCACUUGUGCACAUCAAAAAAGCAGUUUCUCAUUUCUUUGAACAACUUGCAAAUGCUUUGGUACAUCCAUGCAAAUGAUUAUGUACAAUUUUCUGCUGUUUUCUACAUUAUCAAUUGCUUAUGUCAUGUUGAUCAAAAUGUAUUAUAAUGGGUCUCUGUUGAAUAGUCUCACCGCCCUCAACAUUUAGGCAUUAGUUCAUUGCAUAAGUCUUUACAUGCAAAAUGGUUGAACAAGCUGUCAUAAUAUGUCAAGCAUAUUUCUAAACAUUUCCAUUAGACGUUUCUGAAUCUGUCCUGAAUUGGUAAAUUGCUCCCAGGUGAAUCUUGACUUUCUCUAGCAGUGGGAAAUGUGGUGAAGCAUUAGAUCAACCAAUGAUCAACCACUUUUCUGAAAUAGCUCAAAGGUGCGUCUCAUGAACCAUCAACUGGCAAGUAUAUAUAUUGCCGGAGCACAACACAAUGUUACAAUGUCUGACAAUGGAAGGACAAGGAAUUGGAUGGGGUCAACAGCCAGAGAGAAGAAGAGGAAGAGGAGUGAGGCUGCAUGGCAGAGGAGUUGGGAGGCAAAACAGAGGAAGAGGCAGAAGAGGCAGAGGACAUAUGCGCGUUCCUGAUGAAAUAAGAGCUACACUUGUAGACCACGUUCUCAAUCAUGGGCUUACAAUGGCUGAGGCUGGCCGAAGGGUGCAGCCAAAUGUUGGGAGAACAACUCUGUCCUCAAUCAUUCAGACUUUUUGUUGACAGAACAGGUAUGUAUUCUAACAAUAGGCACUGUACUGUAAUACUGUAUACUUUCUGUGAUGCCUCAUACAAUAUUGCAGUAUUCGACUUUCAUUUUACAGUAUACAGUAAGUAUACUAUAUACACUGACAUUUUGGAUGAGUGAAAUUUUGUGGAUAAGAAUUUGUGGCCCAACAGACAGGAACAUCAGGAGGUGUAGGAAGACUGUACUGUAAUGCCUACAGCACUGCAUUUCCAGUUUUCCCUAAGGAAAUUGUCCUAUGUUCACAUUUCUACUUUUGUUUUUUUGUUUUUUUUAUUGUGCUCUGCAAUGUUUUUUUUUUCUUUUCUGUAUCGCAAUGACACGGUCUGUCAUCAAAUUACAGUCUCUUGCAAUCAAUCUCCCACAUACACUGAGGUGUAACUUACAAUUUACAAUGAUUGUCAUCAAAACUUUAGCCAUAGUUUAUAUCAGAACAUCCCUCCAGAGUACACUGUUAUACUGACAACAUGACUAAGCAAUUUGACUGUCUUAUCCGUACACAAUGACACAAGGACUUGUCAUUCUGAUGGCACUGACAUGUUCAUUGACACAGAUAUUUACUUUUGAGAGAUGUGCUAAGGAUUUUGAGCAAGAGACUGGCUUUUGCAGGUAAUCCAUGGUGUUUUGCUAUUUGUACAAAUUGUUUUGAGAAAUGCACUUACUGUUUUGCAAAUGUCGAGGAUGAUUCGAGAAAUGUACCAAAGCGACUGAGAAAAACUGUAAUUUAAGAUAUGGAGGUAAUUGAAUUUGAGGUAUUCAGGUAUUCAAUUGAAGUAUUGAAUUUCACUUCUUCUUCUUCUUUUAUCACUGUUUCCCAAGUAAGGCAGCUCUGCUCAUCACUCAUUCAAACACCCGUCUGAACUGGUCAAUUAUGGACACAGAACCGUUGGUCAUGCUAGCGGGAGACUCCCAAGCCGUUUUAGAAUCAAAAACUAUAACCCCAUCUGAUCUUACACCUUACAUGAGAGAAAAAAGAGACGCCAUGGCCAAAAGGAGUUCCAGUUCAACAACAAACCUAUCUGCAAUAAUUUUAAUGAAAAAUAUGUGUACUUACCCCAACUGCACUUUUCUUUAUAUUUGCAGCCAAUGCAAAGAUGCCCAUCUAAAGUUGGUGUGUCCUCACAGAUACUGACCUCAGCAGAACCAUUGUGGUUCAAAGACUUAGUGGUAACCCAUCCAUCCACUCCAAUAAACAUUCCAGCACUGGCAUCCAAACUGUCUUCCCACCCUGAUUCUGUCUGGUCUAUCCCAGGGGUUUCGGGUAGGGGUCGCACGUUCUCUGGCCUCUUUUUACUGGUGUAAAAACCCCAGUCAUCCAUUACUUAACCUCAAAUUGUCUCUCAGUUUCUAAAAAAUAAAUUGGAUAAAGGCUAUUUAAUCAGUCCCUACACGUCUUCACCUUUCACAGUUUUUCGCUCGAGUCCUUAAAGAGUAGCAACUAGAAAGUACUCCAGAAAGAAAAUAUUAGUAUUCUAACUCUCCGCUCCUCACAACGGGCCCAUCCAAAAACUCACAGUUUCAUCCCAUCAGAGCUAUUCUCUCUUCACCACUCCUCCAUAGACAACGCCAUGAAACUCAUCGAGCUCGGUGGCCAACAUGCGUGGCUCUCCAAUGCUGACAUCACUGACGCAUUCAAAAUAAUCCCAAUUCAUCCUUCACAGUGGCAUCUGUUUGGUCUGAUAUGGGAAUCCAAACUGUAUUUCACCAUGCGCCUCACAUUCAGAUGUAAGAGUAGUCCAUCUAUAUUUGAUAAGGUUGUGUAAGAUCUGUGUUAAAUCCUUUUUUAAAAAGUCUGCAUUCCAUCUCUGCUUCACUUUCUAGACAAUCUCCUUAAAUAAUCAAAUCGGCCUGGCCACUUGCCUCAAAUUCCUAGGCAUUUCACUCGACUCCGUCGAGAUGAAAGUUUCUCUGCCAUUAGAAAAAUUACAGCGCAUCCGUCAUCAAUCCAUCAAUCUGCAACUCAUUCACUGCCUCUGAAGAAGUCACUAAGCAGGAAAUGCUUUCCCCCCUUGGUCACUGAACUUUUACAAUGCACAUCAUUCCCCAGGGGUGCUCCUUUAUUUCCAGACUGCUGGUCAUGGCCUCCUCAGUGCCCAAUCUGCAUGACAUCUUCCCAGUUGAUGAUGGCUGCCCCUCCGACCUAAAAUUUUGGUCAAGUCUGCUGUCUCAGUGGAAUGGUGUUUCUUUAUUCUAUGAUGAUUUGGUCCAUUCAUCUGAUUCCAUUCAGUUUUUCACAGACGCCAUGCCCUCAGUAGGCUUUGGGGGUAUUUCCAAAGCAAAUGGUUUGCCCAAAAAUGGCCUCUCUCCUUUCAAAAGCUCAAUCUGUCCUCCGCUCUGUCCGAGAAUUACCCCAUUUCCGUUGCAUGUCAUGUGUGGGGAAAAUCCUGGAAACGCAAAUGCAUUGAAGUGCAGAGAGACGAUGAGGCACUAGUGAGCAUCAUCAAUAAAAGUCACUCCUCUGGUUCUGAAAUCAUGGCAUACAUGAGAUACAUAAUGUGGCUAUCAGUAAAUCAAUACUUUAUAAUCACUGUUUGUAAUGCAUCAGGUCACGUCAAUGUUACUGCUGACGCAUUAUCCUGCUUUUUCAUGUCUGUUCCACUACAACCUAUCACCGUUAAUGUAGUUUGCGCCUUCAUCUGUCAUUGCAAAGAUGUGCGUCACUUCAAACUUAAAUACACACGCUGUCUCGUCACAGGCAUCCAGUUUAAAGCUAAAUGUUCCAAUCCAGAAUUCCCUAGUCUGUUUGAUAAUUACUGUUUAAAGGAAUGGCUAAAGUUUCCCCUCUUAUUGGUGACAAUAGACUUCCAAUUACUCUUUUGGUAUUGCACAAAAUACUCUCAGUACAGUCAACAGCGGCUGUUUUUCUGCCUAUGUUGACUGUUCCUUUCGUCUAGCUUUCUAUGGGUUUUCAAGAAAUGGGGAAUUUAUCACAUUGUCCAAUUCAUUAGAUCCAGCUAAACAAGUGGCCUUCUCAGAUCUGACUGUUCAUCCGGAUUGUUUCAGUCUUUUCUUCAAACACUCAAAAGCAGGAGUCGCAUGUUCCAUAAUAAUCGCCCAAAUCAGCUCAGGAUGCUAUUCUUAUAAGUCAAUGUGCAUAUUAAAAAAAAAAAAAAAAAGGCCUUGCCCCCAUUCGCCGUCACCUCUCUUUCUGACUCCAGAUAAUAAUCUAAUGUCCAAAUCAUGGUUUAGUUCCCAAUAAGAACAAACACUCUCAAGAUGUAAUAUAUCCCAAAAGCACCACUCUGGCCAUUCAUUCAGAAUCUGUGCAGUGACCUCAGCAGCCAUGAAAGGUUUAUUACCUGCUUCUCUGCAGCAACUAGGCCGCUGGUCCUCUUUUACCUACUCAUUCCAUGUGCGUCCAGAUUCUGCUGCCAUCAUCCAUGUGCAAAAAUCUCUAAAGCCUUGACAGCACAUGGUAAGCAUUUCCACUGGUGGUUGGUGGUUUUCAUUCACUGAAAAAAAAUCUAUAUAUGAAUAAAUUUAGGAGUAGAAAGUUGUGAAGUUUUAUACCCUGUUACCCGAGGUCCUAGUAGUUAACCAAAUCUCUCACAAAUUAAUUAUGAUCAAUUAAGUGCUUAAUUUUCUUGCUUUCUCCCUAACCUGUUCUCAUCUCAGGAUCUCAGGAAGAGCUCAAGAAAUCCUAAACAGUCGAGCUUUCCACCAUGUUCCAGUGCUCUUCAACCUUAAUGCAGCACUCCUCUUAGCCGUUGAGCAAAGCAUCAUCACAAACGUAGCACACCUCAUAGCCACUGAGCUAUAAAUCAUCAUAAACGCAGCACACCUCAUAACCGCUGAGCUACGCAUCAUCACAAUCAUAUAUCAUCCUCAAACCGCACUAAGUAAAAUGUGUUCAAAUGUGUUAAAGUUUUUUUUUCUUUCAAUCUGAGCGAUUUAACAUUGUCAGCCUGAAGGUGAAUUUCAUUCUAACCCAUUUGUUCAUUUAAACAAGUUACUGUCCUCGCUCAUUUUCAUGGUGUCCCACCACUAUCCCGGUAAGUAAGCACUCUUGGGGGGUGUUCAUUCAGCCGUGCUUUAUAAGAAGGCCUGAGCCUUUCUUUUGGGGGGAUUUUUUUGCUGUCGCACAGAUCAAGCAUCCUACGAUCUCCCAUAUCACUCUAUUGAGUCUGAAGGCCAAAGACUUUACGUCAAGCAUCAUUCUAAUAAUUGUCAAAUAAAUGUUCUAAUCUUUUAAUGUCUCUCCUGAGGGGCAGUUUCCGGUUCUGCACCUGAGUAGAUGGCUGCUUAAUUUUCGAGCUCCCAGACGUUUAUGUUAAACAACCCCUUUAAAUCCUCUUUUUGGAAAAGCAGUGAACAAUUUCUGUAACAAUGGAGAAAGGGGCACAUACUAGAAGUAGAACGACUACAAACACAACGGAAAACGAUCCUGGAUUAAAGCAAAGCAAAGCAAAGCAACUCUCUGAACUCACAUGGCGAAGAAAAGCCCAGAGGCCAACUUGAAAAAAAACCUUAAUGAACUCAGAGAGUUCAGAAAUGACAACCUGGGACAGCUUGCCGACAUCAAACACGAAAUCAAAAGAACCAAUGACAGACUGGAUGAGGCUGAGGGGAGGUUUAGUGAAACUGAGAACAUGCUUCAGUCAACAUCAAUGCUUUAUAUGGAGGCAAGAUUGGUGGACCAGGAGGCUCGUGCCAGGAUAGAAAAUCUAAGGAUUUACCUGAAGGAAAAGAGGGCACUGACAUAGUUGGUUUUCUGGACAAAAUUAAAAAAAUAAAACUCCCUCUACAUUCCCAGUGAAAAGGAUCUUGGGAUUGAACGAGCUGAUCAAGCUCUGGCACUGAAGCCCAAUGCCCCGAAUACAAAACCCCGUUCCAUCGUGCUCAAGUUCAGCAACAACCGUACCAAAGAAGAGAUUCUCUGGCGUACACUGUGACAACUGUGACUUGAUGUGGAGGAGCAGUGGCUCAACUCUGAGCGCCUCCCAAGUGUCCGAGAUCCUUACCCUAUCUCUAAGGCUGAGCCUGGCCAUCCUGCAGAAGAAACCCAUUUUGACCGCUUGUAUCCGCAAUCUUGUUCUUUUGGUCAUUACCCAAAGUUCAUGACCAUCGGUGAGGGUCAGCACGUCGAUCGACUGGUAAAUCCAGAGUCUCGCUUUAUGGCUCAGCUCUUUCUUGACCAUGACAGAUCAGUUAAGCAUCUGCAUCCCAGCCGCUUCACACUUGGCUGUGAACCACCCCAGCAAGAGCUGAAGGUCACUGCUCGACAAAGCUAGAACUGGAUAUCCUCCAACCCUGGCUGCACCUAGAAAUUCUGUCCAUAAAGGUUAUGAACAGAACCGGUGAUGAAGAGCAGCCCUGGUGGAGUCCAACUCUCACUAGGAACGAGUCCGACUUACAACCGGCUACACAGACCAAGAUCGUGCUCCUUUGGUAAAUGGACUGGAUGGACCUGAACAAGGAACCAUCCAACCCGUACUCCCGGAGCACCCCCCACAGGAUUCCCCUGGGGACAUGGUCGUAGGCCUUCUCCAACUCCACAAAACACAUGUGGACUGGUUGGGCAAACUCCCAUCUCCCCUCAAGAACCCUAGCGAGGGUAAGGAGUUGAUCCGUACUUCUGUGAUGGGGACCAAAACCGCAUUGUUCCUCCUUUAUCCAAGGUUCAACUAUCGAUUGGACCCUUUUUUCCAGCACCCUGGCGUAAGCUUUCACAAGGAGGCUGAGGAGUGUGAUCCCCCUAUAGUUGGAAUCACACUAUAGUUGGUCUGCCACUCCAAGGGCACUGCCCCCGAUUUCCAUGCAAUGUUGUAGAGGCGUGUCAGCCAGGACAGCCCCACCACAUCCAGAGCCUUCAGAUACCCUGGAUGGAUCUCAGCCGCUCUCAGAGCUCCACCCGCAUGGAGUUGUUUCACUCCCUCGGCGACUUCGACCCCAGUGAUUGGACAAUCCUCAUCCAGGUCCUCCAACUCUGUUGACCCUUGGGAAUGCAUGUCGGUAGGAUUGAGAAGCUCCUCAAAGUUUUCCUACCACUGCCGUAGUAUCGCCCCAGGUGAUGUCAGUAGCUCCCCGCCUCUAUCUAGAACAGUGUGGGCAAGUUGCCGUCUGCCGCCCUGAGAGGCCGGACAGUUUGCCAGAACCUUUUUGGAGCUGACUGAAAGUCUUCCUCCAUGGCCUCACCAAACUCCUCCCACACCAGAGUUUUUGAUCCUGCAACUGCCCUGGCCAUGGACCCCUUAGCCAACCAAUACCGUUCAGCUGUUUCUGGAGACCUACAGACCAGCUAUGACCUGUAGGCCUCCUUCUUCAGCCUGACGGCUCCCCUCACCUCUGGCGUCCACCAUUGGGUUCGGGGAUUACCGCCACGACCAGCACCAGCAACCUUGCAGCUCGCAACAACCACUUCGCCAAUAGCAGAGAGGAACAAAGCCCAUUCGGACUCAAUGUCCCCCACCGCCCUCGGGACGCAGUUGAAUCUCUGUUGGAGGUGGGAGUUGAAAGCCAACCUGACGGGUUCUUCCACCAGGCCAACAUACCCUCACUAUAUGUUUGGGCCUGCCAGGUCUGCGCCCCUGGCAGGCCCCGCCUCCUGGCCCAACUUACCAUCAGGUAGUGAUCAGUUGACAGCUCUACACCUCUCUUCAAAAUGUCCAAAACAUGCGGCAGAUCAUCUGAUGCAGAUCAGAUGAUAAGACUAUAAAGUCGAUCAUUGACCUACGGCCUAGGCCAUCACGGUGCCAGGAGCACCCAUGAACAACUUUAUGUUUGAACAUGGUGUUAGUUAUGGACAAACUGCAACUUGCACAGAAGUCAAACAACUGAACGCCACUUGGGUUCAGAUUGGGCAGGCCGUUCCUCCCAAUCACGCCCUUCCAGGUCUCGAUGUCAUUGCCCACAUGAGCGUUGAAGUCUUCCAGUAGAACAAUGGAAUCCCCAGUCAGAGCGCUGUCCAGCAUCCGUCCUAGGGUCUCCAAAAAGAGUGGGUACUCUGAACUGUCAUUUGGCGCAUAAGCACAGACAACAGUCAGGACCUGUUCCUUGACCUGGAGGCGCAGGGAAGCAACCCUUUCGUCCAACCGGGAGAACCCCAACGUACAGGCAGAGAGCCUUGUGGUGAGCAAAAAUCCCUUGCCUCUCACCCUGAGCAACCCCAGCGUAGAAGAAUGGGUAGCACUUUACGAUAACGACCUGUUAUAAAGUAUUUAUUAACAUUUAUAAGCAGUUUGUAGAUGACCAGUAAACAUGAACAAACUGUUUAUUGACAUUUGUAAGUGUAUAACUAAACAUUUACAAACCGUUUAAACAUCAUUUAUAUGUUAUUAUCAAAGGUCCCAUGGCAUGCCAAUUUCACACAACUUAAAAUAGUCCCCUGAUGUGUUAAAAGCAUGUCUGUGACGUCCUUCAGUCAAAAUUCGAUUUGGAUCAAUUAUUUUAGUGCUCUUUUUAUCAGCUAAAAACAGUUCCGUUCAAAAUCCUGCGUUUUGGGCCAAGUCUCUUUAAUGAAAUGAACUGCACCUAAGCCACGUUCACUUUACACCCAUCUCACUGGAAGGGGCUGUGGAUGUGCUCCGAUAGCCAUGUGCUAAUGUUUACACUGGCUCGGUCAUGGCUGCAAGUAGAUCACUCGUACAACCCUACCAGUUUGAGCCAGAGUCUGACCCAGCGGGAGAGGCUCCGGAAGAAACUCUUAGCCGCGUUCAGACCAAACGCGACUUGAAGCGACCUAGUCGACACACCCUAUGUAUUAUUCAAAGCGGCCAGGAGGGUCAUGCUUAAGGAGGAAGAUAUGAAUGUAGAAAAAAUUUCAACCAGAGCUCUGCUACAAUGUAAGAUUUUGGUGCUCUAAAACUUCUCUGAAGCCUUUGCUAAUUAAUAGGAUGGUCGACCGUCCCGCAUUAGCCGGGACGUCCCGUAUUUGAGCCAAAAGAACCGCACGGGUAAAUGCUAGAGCUACAUGCUGCUCUGGAGGGGGAUUUUGUCCCCUGCCGCCGGAGUUGUCGGGGAAGAAGCGAGCGGCUAAAAUACAGAAGGAUCCGGUAAACCGUCGCGGAUCCGGUGUGUUUAUCAAAGCGUGGUGGCUGUGCUGAGGCAUCGGGGGGAAUUUAGGCUAAACAGUAAGUCAAAAUAAAAUGUUCACACUUACAGAUGCCACGUUUGUAGUAGGAUCACGGAUUGUUGGUACCGAUCCAUUCUUAAACUUCAGACAUCUAGCAAAUCCAGCGUUGAAUUGUCCCUCGUUGAUAAAACAGUCUGUAGAAGCUAAGCCACGCUUUAAGCCACUGAGGUAUUUCAUACAGGAAACCUUCUUGACGCGCUGUUACUCUACCUUGCGGAUGAAUGAGAGUCCAGUUGAUCGGUGUUUAAGAUGCAAACAAGCCCAUUUAUUUGACAUCAAUGCUUUGAUUUACACUCUCACACAAACAUUUCAAAACAUACGGCAGCGGCAGCGUCCGCGUCAGCGGUCAAAAACUGUUUCCCCUCGCUCCGGUAGGAAACACCUGACGAGCCUCCAAAGGUUCCCACUCUAUAUAGGCUGACCCGUCACAGUUAUGACACACAAUAAUUGACCGUAAAUCUGCUCUUACACACCGGCCCCUAAGUGUCAUGGCCGGCAGACAUGGCAAUUCAAUACAGACAAUCAUAAGAGCACGAAAAUGUCAAUUUACACUUCUUUUACCAGGCAAACUUUAGUCACAGGUCUCUCAAUAACACUAUUUUUAGUCUGCAGUUUCACAGAACGCACCAUCCCCUUUGCAUCAGGAAAGAUCUCCAACACUUUCCCAAGAAGCCAGGACCCACGAGGAGCUGAGGGAUCCAUAAUGACAACAACAUCUCCAACACCCAGACUCCUUUUCCUCUGGUUCCACUUCUGUCUUUCUUGCAGUAGGGGCAGAUAUUCCUGGAUCCAACGCUUCCAAAACAAAUCCGAGAUGUAUUGAGCUUGUCUCCAGCGCCGCUUCACAUACAUGUCAGAUGGUUUGAAAAGUCCUGGUGGUAAGGCUGGUUUUCCUUUCAGAAGGAGAAUAUGGUUGGGAGUGAGCACCUCCAAGUCAUUUGGGUCAUCAGACAGCGGUGCAAUAGGACGAUCAUUAAGAAUAGCUUCAACCUCACACAUGACAGUGUUAAGCCCAUCAUCAUCAAGUGUCUGCUGGUGUAGAACUGAGUUUAGAACACGUCUGACUAUGCGUAUCAUGCGUUCCCAAACUCCGCCAUGAUGAGACCCGGCCGGAGAAUUGAAGCUCCAAAAGUAAUUUAUGAGAUGGUCUAUGGCAUUCAGUGCAUCAUGAACAGUGACAUUCACAUAGGCCUCCUUCCUGACCUCUGGAUCAUCAGAAUCCAUCCUGACAUCAAGAUUACUCACUGGCCAAUCUGCCUCAGACUUCCAGAGAAAACUGGGCCCCUCCAACCAGCUUUGAUUUUUCAAAAAGUCUGAUACCUUCAUCCCCCGUGAUGCAGCAUCGGCUGGAUUGUCUUUGGUCCCGAUGUGCCUCCAUUGAGCAGGGCUUGAGAUUUCUCGUAUGGCUGAGAUCCUAUUGGCCACAAAUGUGUGGAACUGCUUAUUUUCAUUAUUGAUGUAUUUCAACACUGAUGUGCUGUCCGUCCAAAACACAGACUCACCCAGCUGGACUUGAAGCUCGGCCUUUAGCAUGGCAUCCACUCUGGCAGCUAGGACUGCAGCAGUCAAUUCCAAUCUUGGGAUCGUUACAGCCUUUAAAGGUGUGACUCUGGCUUUGCCCAAAAGGAAUGUAACAUGAUCCUCACCUCUGGUGUCCUUCAGUCUGAUGUAGCUUACAGUGCCAUAGCCAUCUUUGCUGGCAUCUGCAAAAUGAUGCAGUUGGCUACAUAUGGGUUCUCCAAAGUUUUCUGGCUUUAAACAGCGUUCAGCUUUGAAUGAUGACAAUAGUGUGACCUCCUGUAACCACACCUCCCAUUGCUGUAAAAUGUCUGGUGGUAUUGCAUCAUCCCAUCCACAGUUUCUAUUGCACAGCUCCUGUUGUAGCAUCUUAGCAGACAGAGUGACUGGCGACAGAAAUCCCAGAGGAUCAUAUACAGAGCUGGUUGUAGACAACAUCCCCCGUCGGGUUAGAGACUGCUGUUUGACCUCCAUCUUGAACUUAAAUGAGUCUGACUCGACGCACCAGAGCAGACCCAAAACUCUCUCAAUGGGAAGUUUGUCUCUGUCCAGAUCAAGCUCCUUUAGAUCCUUUGCCCUCUGAUCUUCAGCAAUGCUCUUCAGCACUGAACGGCUGUUACUCACCCACUUCUCCAAGACAAAGCCACCUCUCUGACAGAGAGCACUGAGUUCUUUGACCCGUUGCUUUGCCGCUUCCUCAGAGCUCAAACUCAGCAAACAGUCAUCGACAUAAAAGUUUUGUUGAACAGCUUGAACAGUUUCUGCAGAAAAAUCAGAGCUGUUAUCAUCAGCAGUUUUCCUCAGCGCGUAACUAGCGCAACUGGGUGAGGACACAGCCCCAAACAUUUGCACUGUCAUCCUGUAAACUGCUAGUUCUUUGCUGAGGUCUCACUCCGGCCACCAGAUCAGUGCAAAACGAAAACGCUUGGAGUGGGAGAAAGUUUGCGAGAGGGUGAACGCGGUGGGUUCCGAGACAAGCACCCCCGCGGAGAUUUAAAAAAAAAAUGGUCGGACCUCAAGGUGGAGGUCAAGCGGCGUACAGCUGCCCUCCGGAGGAGUACCGGCCAGACAGGUGGGGUUCCGGGGGAGGAGACCCUCACGCCGUUUAAGCAGCGGGUGGUGGCGAUUAUUAUUAUACGGUAAGUGGCGUGUCACACAACUGUCCACAUGCUUUGCCAUCCCACUGAGCAAAAGACGUAUAUUAGACGUCUAGUCUAAGUUUAUACUUCAUUUCAACGUCGGGAUUCAGUCUAUUUUUAGACGUGAUUUAUACUUCGCCCUUAACUUCAUUUUUCGAUAACUUUUUAUGCAAUAAACAACUGUAAUGUGCACAACUGACCUCUAAAUACUGGAUUACAUUACCUAUGAUACUGUGGAGAGAGAUGUAAACGCAACAGAUACACAGAAGCAGGAAUUGAAAUGAACCAAUAUUUUUAUUGUGUCACAGAAAUCAAUGUGUCGGCCGUGUGGCCGGCUUUCGGAACCCUGCCCGUGGCAGCCCAUCCG